rnacentral:rRNA from 1 species
GAGUUUGAUCCUGGCUCAGGAUGAACGCUAGCGGCAGGCCUAACACAUGCAAGUCGAGGGGUAACAGGGAAAAGCUUGCUUUUCCGCUGACGACCGGCGCACGGGUGCGUAACGCGUAUGCAACCUACCUUUUACAGGAGUAUAGCCCAGAGAAAUUUGGAUUAAUCCUCCAUAAUAUCUUAAUCAUGCAUAUGAUAAAGAUUAAAGCUUCGGUGGUAAAAGAUGGGCAUGCGUUUUAUUAGCUAGUAGGUGAGGUAACGGCUCACCUAGGCCACGAUAAAUAGGGGCCCUGAGAGGGGGAUCCCCCACACUGGUACUGAGACACGGACCAGACUCCUACGGGAGGCAGCAGUGAGGAAUAUUGGACAAUGGACGAAAGUCUGAUCCAGCCAUGCCGCGUGCAGGAUGACGGCCCUAUGGGUUGUAAACUGCUUUUAUACAGGAAGAAACACUCCCACGUGUGGGGGCUUGACGGUACUGUACGAAUAAGGAUCGGCUAACUCCGUGCCAGCAGCCGCGGUAAUACGGAGGAUCCAAGCGUUAUCCGGAAUUAUUGGGUUUAAAGGGUCCGCAGGCGGUCUAUUAAGUCAGAGGUGAAAUCUUGCAGCUCAACUGUAAAAUUGCCUUUGAUACUGGUAGACUUGAGUCAUUGUGAAGUGGUUAGAAUGUGUAGUGUAGCGGUGAAAUGCAUAGAUAUUACACAGAAUACCAAUUGCGAAGGCAGAUCACUAACAAUGUACUGACGCUCAUGGACGAAAGCGUGGGGAGCGAACAGGA